rnacentral:rRNA from 1 species
CCUACGGGUGGCAGCAGUGGGGAAUAUUGCACAAUGGGCGGAAGCCUGAUGCAGCGACGCCGCGUGAGUGAAGAAGUAUUUCGGUAUGUAAAGCUCUAUUAGCAGGGAAGAAACUGACGGUACUUGACUAAGAAGAUCCGGCUAAUAACGUGCCAGCAGCCGCGGUAGAACGUCGGGGGCAAGGGUUCACCGGCUUUACUGGGGGAAAAGGGGGCGUAGAAGGUAGGGCAAGUCUGGAGUGAAAGCCCUGGGCCCAACCCCGGGAGUGCAUUGGAAACUGCCAUGCUAGAGUGCUGGGGAGGUAAGCGGAAUUCCUGGUGUAGCGGUGAAAUGCGUAGAUAUUAGGAGGAACACCAGUGGCGAAGGCGGCUUACUGGACAGUAACUGACGUUGAGGCUCGAAAGCGUGGGGAGCAAACAGGAUUAGAUACCCGUGUAGUU